rnacentral:lncRNA from 1 species
UAUUUUCAUAAAAAGCUAAUAUUAAAAAUACCAUUUAAGGUUCCAAUGUCUUUCAAAGUCAAAUUCUGUUAAUGAACUAUUUGGAACAGCCGUUAUCUCUGUAAGGUUAUCAUUUUGUUUUUUCAAAUAUACCAUUUUACCGUCACCAACUUUUCUUAUUUGUUGUUAAGCUGGGGACAAAAAAAAUAUUUUCUCUACCCUUCUACCGCUAUUAAUUUUUUUCAUUUGUCCUUAACUUUGAGGCAAAAUAGAUAUUUUAAUUAUGUUUAAUUAUGGUAAAAAUUAAACUCGGGCUUAAUCCUAGAUAACUUAUUGGAUCCUAGCAGCACGGAUAUUUUUGAAUAACGAAAAUAUAUGGGGGUAUAUUUCAAACAAAAAAAUGAAAU